AUUAGGUCCUCUCCCAUUCAGAAAAUCUAAUGCUGAUGUGUAACCUCCCGUUGUCCUCAAUUCGACUGAGCCGUUAAGGAAGAUACAAAAGAAGGGUUAUGAACAGUCAUCUGGAUUUCCCUUCGAUUUCAACUCCGCCUCUACAACUUUUUCAACUCCACCGUCGGAUCUGUCUUUUGACGAGCUCCUAAAGGUGUUUGACACAGGAUUUGGACAAACUCUUGACAAGCUCCUGCGUCUUGGGGUAAAUUGCGCUAGAUUUUUAUAUUACAUUCCACUUUCCAGCGAGUUGAGCGGUUCCCGAACUCCGAUGGCAAGAUGACGAAAAAUAAGGGAAGAAGAAAGUUUCCGACCUUCGGCGGUGGAAGAAAGGAUAACCGGGGAAGAAGAAAGAGGACAUGGUUUUAUUUAUUUAUUUUCUUUUAGUUUUUUAAAGAUUAAUUUAAUUUUUUUAUUUAAUUAAAAUUGUGAAAUGGCAUUUAAUGUGGUUUUUGUUUGUCCAGUCAAAUAUAUGUCAUAUUAAUUUUGUUAUGUCAAUUUUGUUUGUCUCAUCAUUAGUAGUAUUAAAAACUUAAUAAUUUUUUUAGUUAAUGAGUUAGAAUUGAUUUAAGACUGA
rnacentral:lncRNA from 1 species